AGUGAACGCUGGCGGUAGGCCUAACACAUGCAAGUCGAACGGCAGCACAGUAAGAGCUUGCUCUUACGGGUGGCGAGUGGCGGACGGGUGAGGAAUACAUCGGAAUCUACUUUUUCGUGGGGGAUAACGUAGGGAAACUUACGCUAAUACCGCAUACGACCUACGGGUGAAAGCAGGGGAUCUUCGGACCUUGCGCGAUUGAAUGAGCCGAUGUCGGAUUAGCUAGUUGGCGGGGUAAAGGCCCACCAAGGCGACGAUCCGUAGCUGGUCUGAGAGGAUGAUCAGCCACACUGGAACUGAGACACGGUCCAGACUCCUAGGGGAGGCAGCAGUGGGGAAUAUUGGACAAUGGGCGCAAGCCUGAUCCAGCCAUACCGCGUGGGUGAAGAAGGCCUUCGGGUUGUAAAGCCCUUUUGUUGGGAAAGAAAAGCAGCAGGUUAAUACCCCGCUGUUCUGACGGUACCCAAAGAAUAAGCACCGGCUAACUUCGU
rnacentral:rRNA from 1 species